rnacentral:rRNA from 1 species
CCCUUAGACGUUCUGGGCCGCACGCGCGCUACACUGACGAAGGCAACGAGCUUUCCUUUACCGAAAGGUACGGGUAAUCUUUUGAAACUUCGUCGUGCUGGGGAUAGAUCCUUGCAAUUAUUGAUCUUAAACGAGGAAUUCCUAGUAAGCGCAAGUCAUCAACUUGCGUUGAUUACGUCCCUGCCCUUUGUACACACCGCCCGUCGCUACUACCGAUUGAAUGGUUUAGUGAGGCCUUCGGAUCCGCGACUCGUUUUGUGGAGAAGUUGGACAAACUCAGUCAUUUAGAGGAAGUAAAAGUCGUGACA